GCGGCCCCGGUCCCCGCGGCCCCGGCCCCGGCGGCGUCCCCGCGCCUCCCUGCCGCCUUGGUAGCGCCGGUCCGCACUCGGCCUGACCCGGGACGUCACGGCGCCUGCCUGUGUUCCCAAUGAUAACUUGGCAGGAGCAGGGGGAAGCGGCCGGGUUUUUCCUGGGCUCGUUACCGGGGGAAUUACUCAUCUAGUGAGGAAAGUGUCUUUAAGUCUCCGAGAUGAUGGCACAACACACACAAGAGGAAAUCUCAGUGCACAGCCAAUGCAGUGAAAUGAAGGAUCCUCUAUGGGAGUUGGUUAGUGGUGCCAAUGUUUGAUAUUUGUCGUAACAACCACCGACUGUUUUGUUUUUUUGUUCUAACAAUGUGAAUUAUGCAUUAAACAUUAAUACAAGUGAGUGUACUUUUCUUUUGAUCUUCAAGCAUAAUCAUUUCUAAUGAGAGUUUAUACAUAAGCAUUGAAACAAAUCCCUGAGUCAUGUGAAUUUACAUUGGUUUUACUCUGUGGGAAAGAUCCCACAUGAGUUACUCAUGUCUGUAAAACAUAACAUACUUAUAAUUCAGAAGAAAAAAAAUGAGCUUGCAUUUGGCUGUUGGAACAUAAAUAUCUGUGUAGACAUUUGGCUUGUACCCUAGCAGUAAUGAAACAUUAAAAAGUUAAUUUAUCAGAGAUCAGGAUUUAGGGCGGGGCCCUUAACUAGUAUGAGAUCCAAGUCUGCUCAGAAUAAGCUCACCUCUUAGUUUCUACAAUCUGGCUUCCUACAGGAGUUGAGCCUAGUGUCAGAGGAAUUUGAAUUAACUCUAAGGGAUCAGAAUUUGGCUUGCUUGAUAGAGAUAAAAGUUGCCAAACUGCCAUCAACAAGUUUCAAUAUUGCCCGUAUGUGUCAGACAAACAGUACAGUGCUUAGUGGCACUUUACCAGAUGCCCUUGACAGCCGUCCACAGUGCAAGGCUGACCCAGUCCAGACCAACUGUAGAACCUGCUUGGCUAUAUUUAAUAUCUGUACCUCUUCUUUCAACAUCAGUCACAAACAGUGCAUUCCAUGAAAACAUACACACACUAUGGAUUGUGUAACUGCCAAGACAGUUAUUUAAAAUGCAAACAGAAUUUAAGCUCUUUCCCCUUUGACACACUGCACAAAUAUUAAAAUACCCAACGAUUAACAGUCUGCACUUCAGCAGCUGUGCUGUAUGUGCAGGGUAUGUAGGACACACUGGGGAAAGUACAGGUGCAAAACAGUACAGGAUGGGCCUGAUCCCUGGGUAUACAGGUACUCACUACAAGAUUUGCAAAAUGACUCUUGCCUUUCCAAAACAGACCUCAGUGCCAAAGGUUGCAGAAGAGAAGUGGUUGUCAAGAAGGUAUUAUGUUUAAUGGCAGAUAGGCUCUAUCUCUGAUUAAGGUCAUAUCUCAGGAAUUCUCAAAAGCCUGUUAAUAUAUUUUACUCUUAAUAUAGAAGUGCUAAAGGAGUCGUGGAAGCCAGAGAUCCAGGAUUACCCCACGUCAUUCUUUGUUCUCACCGGAGGCUACAGUCAUGCUCUCUGCUGCUUCUUUUCUUGCCUGAAUAUCCUGAAAUGCUGAUGAUAGAGCUUUAAAAGGAAGAAGCCUAAGCAUAGAAUAGUUUAUAUAGUGGAAGAAGAGCAAACAUGAAACCCUUCAUCCCUGAAUGUGAAUUCUCCAACUGCUGUAUUUCAUAUACAGACAGAUGUACUGUUACUAAUGCAGUUGAGAAGAAAGGUUGAGAUGGCAGAACUUCACCUGGCGUGUUAAGUUUAAAGAUAAAUAGGUCAAUACUGGAUUUUAAACAAUCUUUUAUUGAAGGACCUCAACUACCUCAACUCCAUCUAGACCCUGCUUGAAGCACAUCGAUAAUAACCCAGCUUGAGAAGUUCAGUGAGUGUUCUCACUUCUCAGAAUGCGUCAGUACAUCCCCAGGCACACACAAAAAGCUGCUCUUGCAUAGAUGUGAUAGAUAUAGGUAGAAAAUGGUGUACAGAAGAAUGUAGGGAGGCCUUUCUAAGCAUCAGCCAGGGUGACAAAGCCUGUUGGAUCAUGGGUUCCCAGGCUGUGUUCACAACCCUGGAAUGCCUGCUGGAAACACUCCCCUGUAAUUUAGCUCAUUUGCUGUGCAUUAAAGAUGCUCAUUUCUAGACCCCUAAGUGAAAUGUGAUACUGAACCCAUCCAUCCUCUUAUACCAGCAGGCAUCUAGCAGAUGGCCAAGAAGCUGAUGGGAAGGAGAGAACACCAGUUUUAAUCCAGUUGUUCAUUAUGGAAAAUUAUGAGAAAAGUGAAAAAUCUUAUUCCACAGACAGACAUUCCACCACAGAGGUUUACUUAUAUUUAACUGUGUAACAGGAUCACAACUCUGAAUUCCAUUACUAUAUAUGAACGUUACGGCGUGGUGAAGUCUUAUUCAGUAAUUACCUGGUCAGAGCCACAGACUAGAAAACAGAUAUGCAGCCCAACUCUCAUGAAAUCAGUGGAGUCAUACCAGUUUAUACUACCUGAGUAUCCAGUCUUCAAUCUCUAAUUACAAAAUUGAGAAAUUGCACUUUUCUCUGAUAUUUUGGUCAUAUUAUACAGAAAAGGCAAUAAAGUAACACGUUAUAGAUAUUUAUAUAGCCAACACAAAAGCAGAGCCAAUGUGACAUCUUCAGCAAUGAAGUCCUACCACCACAUUAUUACAUAUUUCAGCACUGGUGCCAUGUGGAUUACUGCUUAACUUUAGGGUAGCAAGGUAAGCUCAUUUUCUUGCCUUUGUCUUUUCAGUCACCAUUAGGGCUACAACCUUCCCAUCCUCCCAGUACAACCCCCAGGGAGAGGGGUAAAAGUUACACAAUAGGUGUUUUUCCAUGGGCGGAUGUCUAAAUGUGAUGAGAAACAAUUGAAUUUUAAUUACAAUUUUGAGACGCUUGAAGUUAAUUUCUGGGCAGUGCAGAAAUUAGUAGUUCUUGCUGCUGCCAGAAGCUGCAUGCUCUCCUCUCCUGAUGUUAGCAGGAUUACAGGUCCUUGGCUUUUGGCAGAAACAGCUCCCAGAGUAGUAGGUCCUUUCCUCAUGCCGCAAAAGGCAGGGUGAGAGACCUGCUGCUGUCAGACCCAACCGAGUGUUAGUGCAGAGCAAGUGCAACACAAAAAUAGGGUGUCUGCCCCAGAUUUACACUACCAGAGAUGCAUUCUCAUUAGGUAUUUACAGCAUAGUAGCAUUGUUCACGGUAAGAAGGUAAAUUUGUUAAGUGCUGCACAAAACAUUUAAUCAGAAAAAAUUCCUGCGUACAAAAGCCCUACAAAAAAGAUUGCGGAAGGAGUGUGGCAAACAAUGGGAUAUCCUGGGGAAAAAAAGUACACCAGUAAUUGCAGCAAAGGCAGCCAGCUAUGGAGGCUUUUCCUACAUGCAGGGUAGUGAUAAUUCUGCCAAGGAGGCAAGUUGUUUAUUUCCUUUUAAGCUGUGACAUUUCCUUUGCAUUACUGAAUCAUGGUUUGCUAAAAGCUUACAAACAUCAAGUUUAUAAAGCUUUAGAAACCUUGUCAUAUCUUAGAUAAUAUGUACCAAUUUAUCAAAAGCUCUAUAAAAAUAUGUAAUCCAAUAGGUUUUAGGGUUGGGCUUGUUUGGGCUUGGGGUUUUUUUAAUAACUUUAGUAAAGAAGGUGUAAUUUUAGUCUUGUUUUUGUCUUUGUAGAAGAUUUAGAAACUAAUAUAAAUGAUGUUCCCAAAAUCUGUAUGUAUGUACUUGUAGAUGAGGAAAUAGAAAAUAUAAGAUGCUUUAAAAUAGUGCCAGUCAUUUAAUCUGCUCUGUAGUUGGAUGGCAGUGUAUCAACCAUUUUCACCAAAAGCAGGAGACCCACUGCAGAGCACUGUCUUUUCAAUUUUGGGCUAGGCAAUCAUAGCCCCAAAGAGGUCAUGAAAGGGAUCAGCCUUCCCCAUGUUACCCCUCUGGUCAGAUGGCAGCUCCAACCAAAAAGAGAGAAGAGAAGAAAAGAGGACAGCCGUAGGCACCUGGCAUUGCCUCCUUGCACAGAAAAAAGCAGCCAGGGUAGGAGGGCCCUGGUGUCCAGCCAGGUGUGGCAGGUCUUACAUGCCAUGCUGCCAAGCUGAAGCUUAUCCUCUGAAUGGGAUUUUGCAAAUGCUUAUGUGUCCCCAUUUACCUUCUCCAAUGAGAUGGCUGAACAUUUGGCUGAAAAUUUAGAGCCAGGCAUUGAAAAUGUUACUGUCUGUGUCCACGAGCACAUUACAAGGCAUAGGUAAAACAUCAUUGCUUAACAUGUUCUUGCAGUUCUCUUAUGCUGAAGCCAGUUCCCAUCUUAGUUACAGGAAAAUUAAAAGAAAUGUCGGGAAGAUUACUUUUACUGACUGAUACCAAAUGAUUAUUUCCUAACUAAUACUCUUUUUUAUAUACACUGCCCAGAGUUCAGUUGUGUCUGUUAUUUCUUCUACUCAUUUCAACAAGGGUAAUUUUACUUAAAACAAAUUUUUGCAUUGUACUACUGGAUACUAGGGUACAGGUUCUUGCAGUAAAGCAAUUUCACUACUUUAGAGGCUUCACCAUAAUGUUUUGCUACUGAUUUUUUUCUGAGAAGUAGAGGCACAAGCUCACAAAUGCCCCAUCCGAGUCCUUACAGAGCCAUCCUAAGAACCUCAGUGAUGUGCUUAUCGGGCUUGCACACAACAUCUAGUCUCAGACCCUGCUUCGAGCCCUUGGGAGAUGGGUUUUCAGUUAAGACUACAAAAAAAGGAAAAGCAUGGCCACAAUCAACAAUCAAUCAUUUUAAUAGCUGUUAACAUUAAAAACAUAUUCCUAACCUUACGUAUGACAGCCAGCUACACAGUAGGAGACAUGGUUUUGCCUGUACUGGUGAUACUUCCAUACAUAAAUGCAGUUAUGCUUAAGGAAGGUGGUAUGCCACAGUUUCAAUAAUUUCUUUAUUCUACCAAGGUUACUUUGGACCCAUAAAAUUCCUCUUUUAUUUGGCACUUCCUUUAAAGCAAAUUUGUCCCCUUGAGUAAAUUUUUCCUUGGCUGUAAUGUGAGAUGUAGAUACACAUGUAUGUGCACACACAUCUGUAUGUGUCAUAGAUAUCUAUAUUUAUCUAUCACACUUAUUCCAUUGAAUAGAUGUUAUUAUAGAUUUGAAACAAACAAAAGUACAAAUUUGGCUGCUCAGUGUAUAAGAGAAGUUGGUAUCACCCAGUUUAGAAGUAUAAGCUCCAUUUAUUUUUUUUUUUCCCCAUGAAUACGCCACCUACCCCAGAAGCACCUGAUGUCAGUAGCAGGAUACAUACCCAUACAGCCUAAAAAUACUUAACCCUUUCUACAGAUACAAAUACAUAAUAUGAAGAACUCCAAGUGUCCUUUGAACAUGGAAGAGUCACCACACUGUAUCCUACUAAAAUGCAUACUACUUUCAAUGUUUUUCACCUGGACAAGGUGAAUAGGGAAGGAGGGAGGGAAACAAAUUAUUCAGAGAAAAUCCAAGUUAGAAAAAGAAAAAAUAUUUUCUUACCUAAAGUUCAGGCAUCUGCACUCUUUUAAUUCCUUGUUUGAAAAGCUAUAUUUUAAAUUAGAAAUUUCUAGCGUAUUGUAGAUACCUUACUCUUUUCAUGUGAAUACAAAAAUAUGAAUAAUAAGGUAAAAAAAAUAUUAAACAGUUAUAUGAUGUGUUCAGAAAGCAUAUGCAUGGAAUUGCCUAGUGCAGUUCUACUUUAAUAUUUUCCUAACUGGGAGAAAAUGUGUAAGUUCCUCACCCAUUUCAGCAGUCAUCAGUAAUGGAUGUUAAACUUAGCAACUUAGUUCACUGGCAGAUUCCUGAGACUGGCAUCAAUGUAAGGAUUUGUAUUUUAUAUGAGUGGAAAAAACUUUUUUAAAAAAAUUCAUUGUUAUCCUGUAUUUGGAUGAAGGUUUGAAAUAGUUAAACACAAAAUACCAAAGAUGCUACUCAUGGACAUGAUAACUGUUUUUGGGGAGAGGGAUAAGGACAAACUUAUUACUACAUGAUGAGAAAUAUAAAAAUAUUAAGUAAAGUAUUUGAAGAAAUUAAGGAACCAUAAUUUUCAGCAAAGAAGAUUAUGUUAGUUCUAUGUAUUUCUGCACAACAAGACCAAAACGUUGGCUGGGAUUUCUGAGCAUUUCCACAACCCAAACAGUAAGAGGAAGCUAUUCAAAGUCACGAGACUUUCAGUGUUGACUGCAAUGGAAACAGAACAGGGCUUUUGUCAUAAUCAGUUCCUCAGAAUGAACUAAUACUGAUUUAUCAUCUUUUCCCCCCUCUGUGCUUAGAGCUAGAGCAUUACUGAUGUAUGUUCAGAAAACCCACAGAUAGGCAAUAACACACCAUCCUUGCAGGUAUUUUGAGGGAGGGAGAUUGCCUGUUACGCCAAUGCUGUACUUUAGGGUCAUGAGUCACUGAGAAAACAAAGAGAAAUUCUUAUUUUUGUGCUUUGAAUAAGAAGUCUUUUGUGACAGAAUAUAAAUAUGGGGAUGUAAUUUCUAAGUUUACAGUUACUGCUCCUUUAUUAAGAAUGACAAAAUUUGAAGCAGUUGAAAUACUUACAUGGAAACACGUCAUUAUCACCAGUUUUUGUUGCAAAUGUAUUUACUACAUUCAGUCAACAUCCUAAGCAUAUGCCUAUGCCUGCAUGAUGAAAGGAGCUUCAGCUCUCUCCAUACAUAUCAUAACAGUAAGGGGGGGAAAUAAAUCUAAAUGCUAUUUAUUCAGCAACUGAAUCUUAGCCAACAUGUACCACUCUUUACUAUGAUUAGUGGUAAUUUUACACAAGUAGUAAGCACAUAAGGCCCUUGUAACAUUUGAGUACCUGAGACUGGAUUAUCCUGUAGGCUCUUUUAGUUUUUGUUAAGUAUAUACCGAUAGAAUUAAACAUGGGCAUUUAAAAGAAAAAAUAUUUUAAUUUUGUUAAGACUGAGAUAAACUAAUUUAAAAAAAAAGAAAUACAAUGUUAACAUUUUUAACUGUCCAUUCUCGAUGUAACUGCUAUAGUUAUGUGCUCUCCUUUUCUUUCUGGAAAGAUCUAAUUUUCUGCAAGGAUGUCAAAGGGACCACUGCUCUCCAUUUUCUUAAAGGUAGUGAGCCAACAUCUGCUAAAUGCAGUGUGACAUGCUGUUUACCUUUCUUGUAAACUUAAGGCUUUUCCAUUUAAAAACUGUAUAAAUGAAUCAGUAUUCAUUCACACCUAUGCCUAGAUGUAUCUAUUACAAAGCAGAGAGUGUUCAUUUUUAAUGUCCUCCAUAUUAUGCUUUUAUGCCAUAUUCCUCUGCACUGGCACUAUUUGGAACUGCUCUAGGUAUAAUAACAAAUGCAAGGGAAGUAAAACAGAAAGCAAUGUGUUUUUUCCCCUCAUUUGCUACAAGUAUUUAUUGACAAACAAAGGUGAUAAAAAUGCAGAGGUAAAAAGCCCUGCCUGACAUGUCAUUUAAACAACUUGGUAGUUUAGCCAACUCCUACAAUUUUGAAGUUUUGUCCCCUGCUCAAAAAAGUGAAGUGACAAAAACCCAAACAAUCUUUGUAUGUUUAGGUUUGCGCUCUGCAUUAUUUACUAAUUUAUAUUUGAUGUCAGAAUUUUCAAGGGAAGUAGUAGAGGGUUGUCUGUUUUGUUUGGGUUUUUUUAAAUAUAUAUAUUAAAAUAAAUAAAAAUAAAUAUAUAUAAAUUUCACGUCUAUUUAAAGGAAAUCCACAUACAUCAGCAAAAAGCAUGAGCAAAGACAGAAGACUAAUUAACCUGUGAAAAAAAUGCAACCACCCUUUCUUCAGUGAAUGCUUUUGAAUCAGAAAAUGAUUUUUCUCACACUGCAGAAACACUCUAUUUAAACAAGUACCCACUAGCGUCACUUGUCCCUCUAAUCGUCAUUACUGAGACAGAAGCAGCCAUUGCUGAUCCCACAGAACGUUCUGUAAGAUCCACUUUUCCAAUUAAACUUAUAUUCUUCUCGGAUGUCUGCCUUUAUUUAGUCUGGGACACAAUUACAGCUGUACCUUGGUUAACUUCUGGCGGUAAGGCAUUUGCAGAAGCUGUUGCUCUCAGUAACGUUAGCUGUUACUGAUUACAGUAUUGCUUAAGGCAGAUUCCUUGUUGUAAAUGGCAUUGAACAUUUUUACCUGGAUAUUGCAACACCACAUUAUGAGCAUUGGGAUAUAGAAAGAAUAGUAAGUAAUUCUGCUCGCCUCUGGAUUUAAGCAGUAAGCUAGUUGAUUUGUAUGUGGAGACUGCUAGAAAAUCGAACUAUACCCCAGUAUCCAAUACAAUGUUUGUAUCUUUCUCUAAUUUGCUAGUGAGCAAUCAUUACAGUCAACUGUGAACACAGUCCUAAAAAAUAAAGGUCAAACUUUUCAUGGA